UUGUUUAGUUAUCUCGCCCUAUGAGAAAGAUAAUGAUAAAUAUUUAACAUAUGGAAUUGGAGAUUUUUUGGCGAUAAUUGCAUUUAUCAUCAUCUUAUCGUUCCUCCGUUAUAUCGAGCUAUUUGAAAAUAAAACUUCUCGAAAAGAUAAGUAACUUGUACCUGCGUCUUUUGAUUAUGCUAAUGAAGAGGAAGCGAAAUAGGGGUAGGAACUUUGUUUCAGCGCUUCCAUCACUUACAUCGCCCCCAUCGUCGUGGAUUGCUGCGUUCUCCGUUAGACGGAUUCUCAAAUUUCCCUGAAAACUGUACAUAAAGUUUCCAAGGACGACGUGCGCUAACAUACUCCUAAUUUGCAAUGCAUAUAGUUCAGCACCUAACUUUGUUCCGUUAUGCGUUAUGACGUGCUCUUACAGCAGCACGACUCGACGACGGUUUAGGAAUAUCUACAAGAAUGCAUUUAUAAUAUCUGCAAUUUCUGAAUCACUUCUCGUUACCGUAUCAUUUCAACGAUUAUAUUUUUCGAGUAAAACGAAGGAAGAGAUUAGUCAGUGGAUGAUUCUUCCGACUGCCACUUAUCCGUCAUUAUGCGAACAUACUAAUUCCCUUUGUCGAGUAUUCGCUAUGAAGCAACCCCCAACGAAAGCGGCUCGUUUUCUUGUCCCUCGGAUAAUUCCUAUUUGUCGUGCAAAAGGGCAGCACGUGUUCGCUCUCUCUCUCUCUCUCCCUCUCUCCUAAAGGCGCGUCAGAAAUUUUCGUAUUAUCGACCCGUGUCCGCGCCGUUGUCUAACUCGUCUAACUCGUACGAAAGCACGUGCAAAUUUGUCCGUUUGUUUGUUUGUUCGUUUGUUUGUACGCGCAAGCGUGCGCGUGUUUUCGACUCGUAAGUAAAACUGGAAUACACGAUAUACCAAAUUUUGCCAAGAUUUUUAUUCUAACAACGAUAAUCCAUAAAUUCUCAAAAGGAAAGAAAAAUUCUAAGCACAUGUUUCGAUAGAUACACGUUUCACGCCCGUCCUAAAACAGUGUUCGAGCCCCCGCGAGUCGAAAGUUCCUCCGAAUCAAAAGUAACUCGUAGUUUCGUCCAAAUUACUACAAAUUAAUAAAAGAAAGCUCACGAUCCAACCCUUUUAUAUAUAUAUAUAUAUAUCGUAAAGUACGCGGACGACCACGAUGUGUAAACUUAAAAUAGGCGAAUGCAUGAACCAUCGCCCGAGUCGUCUUCCUCCUUGGUACGUCAAAUAUACGACGAAUGAUCGAAUCGAUAAUCUGGCGCAUAACAUUUAUAAUAUUACAUAAUGUGGGAAUUGUAUUUAUAUACCGACUUACGUACGUAUCGAGUAUUCGUAUUAUCAGUGAUUUCAUCGUAUAGGGAGGAUAAAAAGUAAAGAAAGAAAAAUGUCCAAUUUCUUCGCGUCACGUUUCUCGCUGGCAUCGUAUACAAAUAUAUAUGUAUAUGUAUUUGAUUGCAAAAGUAUCUACGUGUAGGCAGGAAAAAUGUUUUUACAUGCAGAUGCAUGAAGCUCUUAGGAAGGUGAGCUCGUAGAGAACAAACUAAGUAAACGACAUAUCUUUUUCUCUCUCUUAUAUUCUUGUGUGGGAGAGAGCGGAUUGGGGAACACUUUCUCACACAAGAACAUUUUGGAGAACAUCGACGAGAGUAGUAGACGAACACGAACGCGCGCGUUCGCCACGUUAUACGGGGUGUCCCGACUUCUUAAGAAACAAAUACAUAUAACGUAUGUACGUAUGCGAAUAGAUGAAAGAAAAAUCGGCAAAAUUCAUUGAUCGCUAUCGCGUAGAAAUGUAUAAACGUUUUUUUCACGACGUUCUCGUUCCUCGAGGGAGCGGAUUAAAAUGAUUGCGUCGGUUAUCGCGGCCUGUUAAUCGCCAAACCAGUUUUUUAACUCUUCGCUUAGUUUCGUAGAAAACUAUCGUCGAUGUCUCGAAUCGAGUCAAGUGUCUUUACACUUGGAUCAAACGAUUGUAAUAAUAUUCGAAUAAUAGAAAGGGGAAGGAAGGGGAAGGAAGGGGAAGGAAGAAAAAGUUAUGGAAAUUUCAAUUUGGCGAAAGUUAGAAGGCGUUACUCUAACGGGUCAAUCAUGUGGCGCGAACUACUCGUGAUUUACGAGGGUCCACGGGCCGGACGGCUAAUUUUCGGACACCCUGUGUGCAAGCAUAACGCAGGCGCAGGCAGCUGUCACCUUACACCCAUGCUGUAGGAGGCAUGGGGCUGUACGGCGGCCAUUCUCAACUUAUCUCUAGGAUCUUUGUAAACAUGUCGUGAAAUCCGAGUAUCCAGGCAGUGGCGUAGGAUUGUGGCCUGGUUGGAAUAUAUAUCUCUUGUUGGUGCUCUAAUCGCGAUAUUACGAGAUCGUCAAAGGCAGCAAGAAGUCUCAAGAUUUACCAGACAAGAACCACAGUAACGUGAAACAUAAUACAAGUUGCACCAGCCAGUCCUAAGCUCAACCAUGCGAGGCAGCCAGCGGCCAAGAAACGCGACGCACGAAUCAGAUUACAUCUUGCGUUCGCUGCUUAUCUUUAUUCUUCACCUUACCUUGCUUCAAUUCACCUCAUUUCACUUCAGUGACAACCCCCCUUCGAGAGACAUCUUAUAACGCGCUCGCAAUAUUCGAUCGUCCUUGAAAAAAUACCCAAUAAGAAAUUACGAACGAUUCGAAUCACUUAAUAGAUAAGCUUUUUUAAUUCUUUCCACCUGGGUCGAUGGACACACCUACGACCAGGUUUGACGAGACAUCAGGGUAAAAACGAUAAAAGGAUCUCUCUCUGAAAUGUUACGAAUAAUUUACAAAAGAUUUUAUUUUUUAUCAUACAAUUUUAUAUUAAUCAUUUAACCUGUUAGCGGUACCCCCUUUAGUUAUAAUUAAUUCUUUGUUAUAAUAAUACUUUUUUUCAAUGAG
rnacentral:lncRNA from 1 species